UAGCAUACUCAUUUGACGUUAGCUGCAGAAGAAGCACCGGCUAACUCCGUGCCAGCAGCCGCGGUAAUACGGAGGGUGCGAGCGUUAAUCGGAAUUACUGGGCGUAAAGCGCAUGCAGGUGGUUUGUUAAGUCAGAUGUGAAAGACCCGGGGCGUCAACCUCGGAAUUGCAUUUUGAAACUGGCAACUAGAGUACUGUAGAGGGGGUAGGAAUUUCAGGUGUAGCGGUGAAAUAGCGUAGAGAUCUGAAGGAAUACCGGUCGGCGAAGGCGGACCCCCUGGACCAGAUACUGACACUCAGAGUGCGAAAGCGUGGGGAGCAAACAGGAUUAGAUACCCUCGGUCG
rnacentral:rRNA from 1 species